UACGUAGGGUGCAAGCGUUAAUCGGAAUUACUGGGCGUAAAGCGUGCGCAGGCGGUUGUGUAAGACAGGUGUGAAAUCCCCGGGCUUAACCUGGGAAUUGCAUUUGUGACUGCACGGCUAGAAUCUGGCAGAGGGGGGUAGAAUUCCACGUGUAGCAGUGAAAUGCGUAGAGAUGUGGAGGAAUACCGAUGGCGAAGGCAGCCCCCUGGGCCAAGAUUGACGCUCAUGCACAAAAGCGUGGGGAGCAAACAGGAUUAGAAACCCGUGUAGU
rnacentral:rRNA from 1 species